UGUCGUUCUGUGCUGCUACACAUGCGCUGAACGGACGCCGCGGAGAACAUAUUGGUGGAUGUCGGCAUUGAGGGAUUACUAAAGACAUGGCGGCCAACAUCGAGCAAAUUUUUCGCGAUUUCGUAGUAAAUAAGAUAAAAGAAAUUGAAGAUGAGAGUCAAGAUAUCAUUCUGACAGAUGAAGGCCAUCCCAAUGGUAAAACUGCAGAAGGAGCAGAUGGGAUCAACAACACACAAGAUAAAGAUGGUGUAGCCAAUAAGGAAGAGGGUGAUGUCCCACAAAAGAAACACAGGAAGCAUAAGAAGCACAAGAAGCACAAAAGCAAAAAGAAGAAACGUAAGGAAGAGAAAGGGAGCGGCUCAGAAUCAGCAGCAGACUCUGAUGGAGACAAGGCAAAGACUGGGGAAGAGGAUGAUGGGAGAUCCAAGCGGCAUAAACGACAUUCUGGGAAGAAGAAGAAAAAAAAGCAGAAGAAAGAUGGUGACAAGUCCAACAGCUCAUCUGGGUCUGAGUCGAAGCCUCAGCCUGGGAACAAGGAGAGCAAAACUCAGGAUCUGCCUGAUAUCAUCCCUAAACUAGAGGAGAAGUGUCCGGAAAAGUCCUCCUCCAGACGCUCACGGUCUCGUUCAGGCAAGCGCAGGUCCAGAUCCAGGGACAGGAGAGGGAGAUCCAGAUCGAGGUCCGGUAGAAGAGGUGGCGGACACACACGUUCCAGAUCACGGCACCGGAGGUCCGGGUCACAUUCUAGAAGGUCUGGGUCUGGCAGGAGAGGCAGGAGAACCCGGUCAAGGUCCCUCGUGAUCUUGAAGAAAGACAGACGGUCUAGAUCGAGAUCCAGAAGGCGAUCGAAAUCUAAGACGAGAUCUCAGUCGAGACACCGAGAGAUGCGUUCAGGAUCUCCCUCUCCGUCCAGAAACGACAAAUCCACGUCUGCCUCAAGAGACAGCCAAUCAGCCGAGAAGGAUCCCUCUGCGGCUCUGGCUAAAGAUGAGCUCGCUGUGAAAGACGAAAAGGUAAUGGUUCCAAUCGAUCCGCCAGCCCUAGCUUCCGAAAGCAGCAUUGAGGGUGUCGUCAAUGUGGCCGCCGCCUCUGGAGGAGGGUGGAAGCCGAUACCCUUCUUAGGGGACAGCAGUAAGGGAGAGCCAGCCGUUUCCUCCCAGCCCUCAGAAUGUCUGACGUCUCCACAGAAGUGCCCUAUUCCUCCCGAGGUGCCUUCAGGUGAGCCGCAUGAGGCCUCCACUGACCACCAGUCAUUGUCAGCCUCUGAUCCUAACCACAGCUGCCAGCCAACUGGUGAGCCAGGGGAAUCGGAUGGACCUGUUACUUCAGAAACCCUGGAUGGCUCUGUAGAUUCCUUACCCCCCAAAACGGAUGCUGAUGGAGGGGACAAGGUGACACCUCAGGGUGAAGAGCUGCCUGCCUCACCUCAACCUAAACCACAGCUGACAUCUGGAGAGGCAGAGACGACAGAGAAGGAAGGAGAAUCUUCAAAGUCCAGGUCUCCUUCAAAGAGGAAAAAGUCCAGGUCAAAGUCUCCUGGUCAGAAGAAACGCUCUGACGCAAAGUCCUCCAAGAAGAGGAGGUCCAGAUCCAAGUCUCCAGGGAGGAAAAGGAAAUCGAGGUCCUCGACGCCAGGCCACAAGAGGAAGUCCAGGACGCCGUCUCGGAGGAAGAAGUCUCGCUCAACGUCCGGGACGAGAAAGAAGAAAUCACGGUCCAAAUCCAGAACGCGGAACAAGCGUUCAAAGUCUAGGUCACCGAAAAGGAAACGGUCCAAGUCACGGUCUCCUGCUCGGAGGUCAAAGCGAUCGAGGUCACGCUCCGGUUCGCGGCGGAGGGGGAGGGGUGCAUUCGGCAGCCACCAGCUGAGCCAGAGGGACCGCUGGAAGCGUGAGCCAAGCCACUCCCCGGUCCUCAUCCUCCGCAAGAAGCGGUCUCCGGCACGCACCAACCGCGACACCAGCAAAAGCCCGCCACGACUCACAGAGCUGGAUAAAGACCAGUUGCUGGAGAUUGCUAAGGCUAAUGCAGCCGCCAUGUGUGCCAAGGCUGGGAUACCCAUCCCAGAGAGCCUGCGACCCAAAGCGGUCCUCCAGCUGCCUUUACCCAACCCCAACAACCCCAUGUCCUUCUCCAUGCCCAUGAAUAUGAACAUGCCCAUGAACAUGUCUAUGAACAUGCCUAUGAGCAUGACCAUGAAUGCAGCUAUGGCUAGCAUGACAGCUGCCACAAUGACGGCGGCCCUGGCCAGUAUGGGAUCUAUGGCCUCCAUGCACCAGAUGGCCCCGCUCCCCAGCAUCACCAACAAGCCCCCGCCAGGUCCCCCCCAGCCCAACAUGGCCACCAUCGAGGAUGUGAAGAGGAAGGUGGCCAAGCAGGCAAACAGCAUCAGCAUCAAGGAGUUCACUGACAAGUGUAAGAAGAUUGUGGAGAAGGGAGGGGAGCUGGCCCUCGCUGAACCCCGUAUAUCUGACGACGAGGACGACGGCAAACCGUUUGGACGAGCCGCCCUGAGGGAGGUCAAGGGCAUCUCCUUCAGCCUCAAUAACGCGUCCGUGCGUCCAUCGCCGGCGUUGGCGGUUCGGAGCGAGGCGGCGUUCGCCAAGGAGUUCCCCGUGUCGUCGGGCUCCCAGCACAGGAAGAAGGAGGGCGACGGGGGAGGGGCUUACGGAGAGUGGGUGACCGUCGACAAGAAGGCGGAAAAGGCCAAGGCGGCGGCGACCAAGGCAUUGGCAACGGCUGCCACGGAAACUUCGCCUGGGGAUGCGCCUUUGUCUGCGGUGUCCGUGGCAACGGAGGAGCCGGCGGUCGUCACGGAGAGUGAUAGUGUGUUCCCGGAGCCGCCGCUACAGCCUGUAGACAUCACCCAGGCAGUCGGUGAGAGGAUGAAGGCCCAGAAGCGUCUGGCUGAGAACCCGUACGACGUCAGCGCCAUCUGCAUGCUCAGCCGUGCCCAGGAACAGGUGGAUGCGUGGGCCCAGUCCAACACCAUCCCUGGUCUGUUUACAGGUUCUACUGGAGCAACGGUGCUCAGCUCAGAGGAGCUGUCCAACAGCGGACCACAGGCCUGGAUCAAAAAGGUACUGUCCACUGUCUUACCUGCUCCCCACACACCCUCCUCACCCCAAACAUACCACCCCACUACCCUACAGGUGUCUGCAUCGCCCAUGCCCACUGGUGUACCCACUUCACAAGCCUUCCUCAGCCUGCUCCCUAAUCACCACCCAGCCCUAGUCAAAUAACUGAAUGUCUGUACGCAUAGAGAUGGAGACUGUAUUUAGUUUGACAAAUGUUCUGUUGAUGUAGAACACUGGGUUAGAAUGGAGUAGUUCCACUGUUACUCAGUGGAAUCCAGGGCAGAUGUAACGGCCCCGAGACGUGGGGUCCACUGCUACCAUGGCAACCCUUGUUAGCACUAACGCACAUAGUCUGCGUCAGAAAGAUGCUCUGACGGUGAAGGAAGACUUGUUUAUGUUGACUCAGCCUGAUAUUUGCACUGCGGUCUGUAACAGUGGUAACAUGAUGAACCCAGACUGAACAAAAAUCUCCCUGUACUUCAAUCACCCCCCCACACCUCCCCCGCAACACACACAUUCUGACCAAUUCCAUUUCCUGUGAAGUGGGUACACCAUGUUAAGGGUAGCGAUGCAGAUUCCUUACUUGUGACAUUCUUACCAAAGCAGGUGCAAAUGCUGGUCUGACACCCAUCUACUAGUGGUGCUCUGGUCUGACACCCGUCUACUAGUGGUGCUCUGGUCUGACACCCGUCUACUAGUGGUGCUCUGGUCUGACACCCGUCUACUAGUGGUGCUCUGGUCUGACACCCGUCUACUAGUGGUGCUCUGGUCUGACACCCGUCUACUAGUGGUGCUCUGGUCUGACACCCGUCUACUAGUGGUGCUCUGGUCUGUCCACUAAAUAGAGUCCCCCUCGGAGUCGGAAUAGGGACUUGGAGAGGGAGGGAGGGGGGAGGAAGAGGAGAGCUGGAAGUAAGUCUGCAGACCCCAGAACCCCCCUUGUCCUCUAGCACCCCAGGGCAAGGCAGAGAUUAUGGGUCUGUCUCAGUAGUCUAAAGAAGCUUCUUCGUCUCUUUCCUUGGAUUCACACUGAUCUCAGAGCAGGGGAAAGGGAAAAGCUCUAUUCUUUCACCUAUCCUGCCUUUUCAGAUCAGGUCAGAUGUUAUUGGGUCAGAUGUUAUUGGGGACGUUAGAUGAGGAAGUGACUUUAGACUAUUCAGAUGUACCCUAAGACAGGUUACUAUAGUCUCUACCGUCACGCUGUCUCCCUAAAGCGGUGUCUCCCUAUCGCUCCCCCACACCCAGUCACACAGAAUGUCAUCAUGCCCAGAGAUGACCAUAGUUGUUUGUCCUCUGUCUGUGGACCCCGUCUGAACUCUCCUACCCUGUAGUGUUUCUAUAGUGGGCUGUUUGAAGCCAGUGGGUGUAACUGUACCCCAAGCCUCCCUGAGCUCUGUAAACACACAGAGGCAGGGUGCUGCCGUUACUGUUUUAAAUGACACAUCCUGAGGAAUCUCUCUCAGGUUCGGUUACACAUUGUCACAUCAUUUAGCUAUAGAGAGAGAUGGAUCUGCUGAGUUCAUUCUUCAUUUAAUACGACACAUCCUUCACAUGCAGAUGCUAUGGGCAGAUGCCAUGGACAUAUGCUUUGGACAUGUUCAGA